UACGGAGGGGGGCUAGCGUUGUUCGGAAUUACUGGGCGUAAAGCGCACGUAGGCGGCUUUGUAAGUCAGAGGUGAAAUCCCGGGGCUCAACCCCGGAACUGCCUUUGAGACUGCAUCGCUUGAAUCCAGGAGAGGUGAGUGGAAUUCCGAGUGUAGAGGUGAAAUUCGUAGAUAUUCGGAAGAACACCAGUGGCGAAGGCGGCUCACUGGACUGGUAUUGACGCUGAGGUGGACGAAAGCGUGGGGAGCAAACAGG
rnacentral:rRNA from 1 species